GUGAAUCAUCAAAUUUUUGAACGCAAAUUGCACUUUCUGGUAUUCCGGAAAGUAUGCCUGUUUGAGGGUCAGUUAAAUCAAAAUCGGUGUUGUUGCUACCCGUAGCGUUGUGUGAUGCAUCGGAUUUGAGACGUUCUUUACCUUUGGUUUAAGUGAUUUAAAAUUAUUCUCGAUUUUUAAACGAAUUUAAAUUAUUACUUACGUUCGUAAUAUCACAUCUAAGGUGCGGUCAUUAACGAGAUUUCGCGUCUAUAAUUUUUCAU
rnacentral:misc_RNA from 1 species